AGUGGUUUUGCUUGCUGGGUUAUGAAGUUAUUUAUUCUUGUUUAGAGAAAUCGACUCUUAUUGCGAAAGGAGGUGAUUGAUGUUAUUUUUGGUUUAAACAUGUUUGCUUUUUUCUUAGUUAAAGGUUUCAGCCUCCUUUGAUCUUGGUUUGAUAACUUUUGCUUUGUAUUUAUACCGUCUUUA